ACCAGCCCUCUCAGCGCUGCCAGGCCUGGUCAGGAUGGAGGGUAGCCUCAGGGGAGCAGCAGGAAGGGUGAGAUGGGGCGUGGGAAUGGCCGAGGAGAGACCCGGCCGAGUCCUCCGCACACGGCUUUGCAGCGCAGGGAUUUGGGACCCAGCUCUCGUGUGACGCUGGCUUGUUUCACCAGGAAAAACCCAAACUUGGCAAGGCUCUCUGCCACCUCUGCAGGAGGUGCCCUGUGCAUGUCCCAGUACGCUUCUUUCCUGCACGGAGGCUGGGAAUAUUCCUGCUAGACAGAGACACACUCAGACAUGUAAACCCAUGCCCAGACACCAAACCAAUCACAAGGGAAGUGCUCAUCCACACUCAUGCCGAUGGUGCCGCGCCAUUGCACAGCACCACACACCACACACACCCACACAACACGGUGCAACCACACGUCACUAACCACACACUUCCACAUGCACACUGAGGGUGCAGUCACACACCAACCCACAAUAACACAAAUGGUGCAAUCACACAUCACAAAACACUUCCACACACACGCACUAACACCAACGGUACAACCACACAUCCACACACUUCCACAUGCACACUGAGGGUGCAGUCACACACCAGACACACACACACACACACAGGGACUCACAGAUCCUAGAGUUCAGAGAUAGAAAUGACUUAUGGGGUCCCCAGCCCAUUUCAGGGGCCCGGGCAGGUUAGUCCCUACACACACCUCAGCUAGUUUUAAAAAGCCCAAACAAAGGGGCUCUGGUAUCUCUGGCUCUGCCAACUCCAAGCCUUCACAACUCAAACGAUUGGCUUUAAAAACACGAGAUUUUAAAAACACUCAAUUCUGGGGUUCUUUUUAUUUCUCUUCCGGGCUUGGGGGGCGGGGGGCGUCUUUGGGGUCACCUUUCCCAGCUCUCCCCUGCCGCUGUGAGGCUUUUAAAAAGUGAGUCUCACGCAACCCCUUGAGUGCAGGGGCUUGAAGAAAAGCACCAGGCUACCGCAAGCCUCAGGCUAAAGUCACGAGCCGUUGCAACGCCUCGCUGCCCGGGGAGGACACCUCAACCUCCUGUAGCCCACGGGCCAUGCAGACUCCUGGGGCUUCCACCCAAGCAAUGGCCAGCUCGGAUCUGGAGACCUACCCAACCCCUAGCGCCCAGUGUGCGGAGCAUCGAAACGCACACACCCAAUAGGAGCUGAAUACGCAGAAACACAGAGUCAGCCCUUCCCCUUUCCAAGCUGCUGGAGCACUUGAGUGAGGAUGAGCUGUCAGGCAGAUAUGCCUCAUGCCAACUCAGCGCACGCGUGGCUGGAAAAUCAGAGAUCUUAGCCCUGCAACCACCUGCUUGCCACAGCCUCCGGAGUGAUUUAACACCCGCUCUUUGGAAAAGGAGCCCAAAUCGCCACCGCAGCUGGGCAAAUGGACGUUGGACAAUAACUUCUUCAGGACAGAGACCGUCUCUCACUGUGUGUCCGUCCAGAACCCAGCAUGCUCCAGGCCUGAUCGCGACCUUUGGAUUCUACUGUAAUAAAAACACUUCCAUACAAACGUGUGGUCAAAAAGUUCAGGUUGCAGAGUCCAGCACUUGGCAGUUAGGAAAUGCCAGAACGAAGGUUGGACUUUCACUGGCCCCCUUUGUGCGUAUGGAUGCCAACGAUGCAAUCUUUAAUGAGCUGAUCACAUACUAUUUUGUUUGCUGCUGGACCCUCCCUCACUGGCUCAGUGCACAGAAUGGACAGCGCUCACAGAAGAGGCAGGUAUUUGACAUUUCUUUGUAUCCUGCUCAUUCAAAGGGCAGCCCAGGUCUUAUUUAACGCACCCCCUCCAAAACCGGCACUCAAUCCAGAAUGAUUAAUUUCCCCCUGGAUGCUUCUGUUGGGCGUUCACCAGAGUACCCGAGUGCUUUGCAGACAUUCAUGAAUUUAUCUUCACAACCUCUUCACACGAAGGGCUGCUGUUAGCCUCGUUUUUCUGAUGGAGAACUUAAGCCCAGCGAGAUUAGGGCCCAAAGUGUCCACUAAUUUUGAGCGCCCAACUCAAGACAACGAGGGCAGGGCAAUCUUCACAGGAUUUAGCAUUUUUACCGUGAUAUGCUCGGGGCACAGCUCCUUGUGUCUUCUGCUGCAACUGUGAGCGUCCAGCACUUCUGCACCUCAGACACCCCACCUGUCUCAAACUGGGCACCUAGACACCGAGGAAUACACCAUUAGUGACCACUGGUGAAACGUUUGAUUUAAGUGACUCGCCUGCUAUCAUCCAAGAAUGCAGACAGGGAUAGAAUCCAGUUCUCCAGAGCAGCAGUCAGCUGCCUUAACAUGAGACCAUCCCUUCCCUUCCUGCAACCCCCUGUCUCCUUCACUACACACUUUCCAGCUUUUGCAACAAGCGAGGCAGGGGUCUUACCAACAACAGUCUCCCUCCCUGCACCGCACUGAUUUGUCUCCAGGGCAGCUCCCGUCUGUGCACUGAAUGAGGCAGGGGUCUGGUGGAGAAUGAGCGUGCAGUCAUGUAAUUAAAGUUGGUGUCCUAAAGCCUAUCCACAAGGGAGCUGAAUUAAC